rnacentral:rRNA from 1 species
UACGUAGGGUGCAAGCGUUAAUCGGAAUUACUGGGCGUAAAGCGUGCGCAGGCGGUUUUGUAAGUCUGUCGUGAAAUCCCCGGGCUCAACCUGGGAACUGCAUCCGAGACUGCAUUGCUAGAGUAUGGGAGAGGGAAGCGGAAUUUCUGGUGUAGCAGUGAAAUGCGUAGAUAUCAGAAGGAACAUCAGUGGCGAAAGCGGCUUCCCUGGACCAG